ACUGGGUUGGCCGAGUGGUUAAGGCGUUGGACUUAAGUUCCAAUGGACAAGUGUACGCUUGGUAUCGAACGCCCACCACCCAGUA
rnacentral:tRNA from 1 species